rnacentral:rRNA from 1 species
GACGAACGCUGGCGGCGUGCCUAAUACAUGCAAGUCGAGCGGACGGAUGGGAGCUUGCUCCCAGACCGUCAGCGGCGGACGGGUGAGUAACACGUGGGCAACCUGCCUGUAAGACUGGGAUAACUCCGGGAAACCGGGGCUAAUACCGGAUAACUCUUUCCCUCACACGAGGGAAAGCUGAAAGAUGGCAUCUCGCUAUCACUUACAAAUGGGCCCGCGGCGCAUUAGCUAGUUGGUGAGGUAACGGCUCACCAAGGCGACGAUGCGUAGCCGACCUGAGAGGGUGAUCGGCCACACUGGGACUGAGACACGGCCCAGACUCCUACGGGAGGCAGCAGUAGGGAAUCUUCCGCAAUGGACGAAAGUCUGACGGAGCAACGCCGCGUGAGUGAUGAAGGUUUUCGGAUCGUAAAACUCUGUUGUCAGGGAAGAACAAGUACCGGAGUAACUGCCGGUACCUUGACGGUACCUGACCAGAAAGCCACGGCUAACUACGUG